rnacentral:rRNA from 1 species
UGUAGGAAGAGAAAGAAAAUUCGAUUCCCUGAGUAGCGGCGAGCGAAACGGGAAGAGCCCAAACCAACAAGCUUGCUUGUUGGGGUUGUAGGACUCCGAUAUGGUAGUCUGUUAGUAUAGUUGAAGGAUUUGGAAAAUUCCGCUAAAGAGGGUGAAAGCCCCGUAGACGAAAUGCUGACAACACCUAGGAGGAUCCUGAGUACGGCGGAACACGAGAAAUUCCGUCGGAAUCCGCGGGGACCAUCCCGCAAGGCUAAAUACUCCCUAGUGACCGAUAGUGAACCAGUACCGUGAGGGAAAGGUGAAAAGCACCCCGGAAGGGGAGUGAAAUAGAUCCUGAAACCGUGUGCCUACAACAAGUCAAAGCUCGUUAAUGAGUGAUGGCGUGCCUUUUGUAGAAUGAACCGGCGAGUUACGAUUGCAUGCGAGGUUAAGUCGAAGAGACGGAGCCGCAGCGAAAGCGAGUCUGAAUAGGGCGAAUGAGUAUGUAGUCGUAGACCCGAAACCAUGUGAUCUACCCAUGUCCAGGUUGAAGGUGCGGUAAAACGCACUGGAGGACCGAACCCACGUACGUUGAAAAGUGCGGGGAUGAGGUGUGGGUAGCGGAGAAAUUCCAAACGAACUUGGAGAUAGCUGGUUCUCUCCGAAAUAGCUUUAGGGCUAGCCUCGGAAUUGAGAAUGAUGGAGGUAGAGCACUGUUUGGACUAGGGGCCCAUCUCGGGUUACCGAAUUCAGAUAAACU